rnacentral:rRNA from 1 species
UACGUAGGGGGCAAGCGUUGUCCGGAAUCAUUGGGCGUAAAGAGCGCGUAGGCGGCCCUGUAAGUCCGCUGUGAAAGUCCAGGGCUCAACCCUGGAAGGCCGGGUGGAAACUGUCGGGCUAGAGUCCGGAAGAGGCGAGUGGAAUUCCCGGUGUAGCGGUGAAAUGCGCAGAUAUCGGGAGGAACACCAAUGGCGAAGGCAGCUCGCUGGGACGGUACUGACGCUGAGACGCGAAAGCGUGGGGAGCAAACAGGG